UACAGAGGGGGCAAGCGUUAUUCGGAAUUAUUGGGCGUAAAGGGCGCGUAGGCGGCUUGGCAAGUGGAUGGUGAAAUCCCUCGGCUUAACCGAGGAACUGCCGUCCAAACUGCUUCGCUUGAGACCGGGAGAGGUGAGUGGAAUUCCCAGUGUAGCGGUGAAAUGCGUAGAUAUCUGGAGGAACACCGGUGGCGAAGGCGGCAUCCUGGACCGACACUGACGCUGAGGAGCGAAAGCCAGGGGAGCAAACGGG
rnacentral:rRNA from 1 species